AAUUGGAGGGCAAGUCUGGUGCCAGCAGCCGCGGUAAUUCCAGCUCCAAUAGCGUAUAUUAAAGUUGUUGCAGUUAAAAAGCUCGUAGUUGAAUUUCGGGAUCAAUAUUUCGGUCAUGCCGUUGGUAUGCACUGUUAUCAUUGAUUUCUCACCUUCUAAAGAACCGUAAUGCCAUUAAUUUGGUGUUACGGGGAAUUAGGACUGUUACCUUGAAAAAAUUAGAGUGUUUAAAGCAGGCUCACGCUUGAAUACAUUAGCAUGGAAUAAUGAAAUAGGACAUCCGAUUCUAUUUUGUUGGUUUCUAGGAUCGAUGUAAUGAUUAAUAGGGAUAGUUGGGGGCAUUAGUAUUCAAUUGUCAGAGGUGAAAUUCUUGGAUUUAUUGAAGACUAACUAUUGCGAAAGCAUUUGCCAAGGAUGUUUUCAUUAAUCAAGAACGAAAGUUAGGGGAUCGAAGACGAUCAGAUACCGUCGUAGUCUUAACCAUAAACUAUGCCGACUAGGGAUCGGAUGAUGUUAAUUUUUUAAUGACUCAUUCGGCGCCUUACGGGAAACCAAAGUGU
rnacentral:rRNA from 1 species